AUUGAACGCUGGCGGCAUGCUUUACACAUGCAAGUCGAACGGUAACAGGCCGCAAGGUGCUGACGGGUGGCGAACGGGUGAGUAAUGCAUCGGAACGUGCCCAGUCGUGGGGGAUAACGCAGCGAAGGCUGCGCUAAUACCGCAUACGAUCUAUGGAUGAAAGCGGGGGACCGUAAGGCCUCGUGCGAUUGGAGCGGCCGAUGUCAGAUUAGGUAGUUGGUGGGGUAAAGGCUCACCAAGCCAACGAUCUGUAGCUGGUCUGAGAGGACGACCAGCCACACUGGGACUGAGACACGGCCCAGACUCCUACGGGAGGCAGCAGUGGGGAAUUUUGGACAAUGGGCGCAAGCCUGAUCCAGCAAUGCCGCGUGCAGGAAGAAGGCCUUCGGGUUGUAAACUGCUUUUGUACGGAACGAAACGGUCCUGGUUAAUACCCGGGGCUAAUGACGGUACCGUAAGAAUAAGCACCGGCUAACUACGUGCCAGCAGCCGCAGUAA
rnacentral:rRNA from 1 species